GUGAGGAAUAUUGGUCAAUGGGCGAGAGCCUGAACCAGCCAAGUCGCGUGAAGGAUGAAGGUUUUAUGAAUUGUAAACUUCUUUUGCAGGGGAAUAAAGUACGGUACGUGUACCGUUUUGUAUGUACUCUGCGAAUAAGGAUCGGCUAACUCCGUGCCAGCAGCCGCGGUAAUACGGAGGAUCCAAGCGUUAUCCGGAUUUAUUGGGUUUAAAGGGUGCGCAGGCGGGUUGAUAAGUCAGCGGUGAAAGUUUGCAGCUUAACUGUAAAAUUGCCGUUGAAACUGUCGAUCUUGAGUACAAAUGAGGUAAGCGGAAUGUGUUGUGUAGCGGUGAAAUGCUUAGAUAUAACACAGAACACCGAUUGCGAAGGCAGCUUACUGGGAUGCAACUGACGCUCAUGCACGAAAGCGUGGGGAUCAAACAGGAUUAGAUACCCCGGUAGUCC
rnacentral:rRNA from 1 species